UGAGGAAUAUUGGGCAAUGCCCGCAAGGGUGACCCAGCAACGCCGCGUGGAGGAUGAAUGUCGUAAGAUUGUAAACUCCUGUUAGAGGGGAAGAAUAGUACCGGUUGGACCGGUAUAUGACUGUACCCUCAGAGAAAGCCCCGGCUAACUACGUGCCAGCAGCCGCGGUAAUACGUAGGGGGGCAAGCGUUGUCCGGUUUUCCUGGGUGUAAAGGGCGCGCAGGCGGAAUGGAAAGUCAGUGGUGAAAUCCUACAGCUUAACUGUAGAACUGCCUUUGAUACUUUCAUUCUUGAGUUCGGGAGAGGGAGACGGAAUUCCAGGUGUAGUGGUGAAAUACGUAGAUAUCUGGAAGAACACCAGUUGCGAAGGCGGUCUCUUGGUCCGAUACUGACGCUGAGGCGCGAAAGCGUGGGGAGCAAACA
rnacentral:rRNA from 1 species